GACGAACGCUGGCGGCGUGCUUAACACAUGCAAGUCGAACGGAAAGGCCCUGCUUUUGUGUGGUUCUCGAGUGGCGAACGGGUGAAUAACACGUGAGUAACCUUCCCUUGACUUUGGGAUAACUUCAGGAAACUGGUGCUAAUACCGGAUAGGAGCUCCUGCUGCAUGGUGGGGGUUGGAAAGUUUCGGCGGAUGGGGAUGGACUCGCGGCUUAUCAGCUGGUUGGUGGGGUAGCGGCUUACCAAGGCAUUGAAGGGUAGCCUGCCUGAGAGGGUGACCGGGCACAUUACGACUGCGAGACGGACCAGACGCGAACGGGAGGCAGCAGUGGAGAAUCUUGCACAAUGGGCGGAAGCCUGAUGCAGCAACGCUGCGUGCGGGAUGCCGGCCUUCGUGUUGUAAACCGCAUUAGCCUGUGACGAAGCGUGAGUGACGGUACUGGGUAAAGAAGCACCGGCUAACUACGUG
rnacentral:rRNA from 1 species